ACUCCUGUAGCCCAAUGGAAGAGGCGGCUGUCUCAAAACCAGUCAACGUGCGGGUUCAAAUCCCGCCAGGAGUA
rnacentral:tRNA from 1 species